AUUGAACGCUGGCGGCAGGCCUAACACAUGCAAGUCGAGCGGAGCGGAGGACGGGCGAGUAAUGCCUAGGAAUCUGCCUGGUAGUGGGGGAUAACGUCCGGAAACGGGCGCUAAUACCGCAUACUAUCAGAUGAGCCUCGGUUGGCUUAGCUAGUUGGUGGGGUAAAGGCCUACCAAGGCGACGAUCCGUAACAGGUCUGAGAGGAUGAUCGGUCACUCUGGAACUGAGACACGGUCCAGACGCCUACGAGAGGCAGCGUUGGGGAAUAUCGGACAAUGGGCGAAAGCCUGAUCCAGCCAUGCCGAGUGUGUUAAGAAGGUCUGGGGAUUGUAAAGCUCUUUAAGUUGGGAGGCGUUACCAACAGAAUAAGCACCGGAUAACUUCGUGCCAGCAGCCGCGGUAAUUC
rnacentral:rRNA from 1 species